rnacentral:rRNA from 1 species
GAUGAACGCUAGCGGCAGGCUUAACACAUGCAAGUUGAGGGGCAGCAUAAACAAUAGCAAUAUUGUUUGAUGGCGACCAGCGCACGGGUGCGUAACACGUAUGCAAUCUACCUUGUACUGGGGCAUAACUCCGAGAAAUCGAAGCUAAUUCCCCAUAACACCACAGAAUGGCAUCAUUCAAUGGUUAAAGUUCAGGCGGUACAAGAUGAGCAUGCGCCCAAUUAGUUAGUUGGUGAGGUAAUGGCUCACCAAGACUACGAUUGGUAGGGGGUCUGAGAGGAUGAUCCCCCACACUGGUACUGAGACACGGACCAGACUCCUACGGGAGGCAGCAGUGAGGAAUAUUGCGCAAUGGAGGAAACUCUGACGCAGCCAUGCCGCGUGAAGGAUUGAAGGCGCUAUGCGUUGUAAACUUCUUUUGUACGGGAAUAAACGCUUCUAUGUAUAGGAGCCUGAAGGUACCGUAAGAAUAAGCACCGGCUAACUCCGUGCCAGCAGCCGCGGUAAUACGGAGGGUGCAAGCGUUAUCCGGAUUUAUUGGGUUUAAAGGGUCCGUAGGCGGACUGUUAAGUCAGCGGUGAAAGCCCACAGCUCAACUGUGGAACUGCCGUUGAUACUGCCAGUCUUGAGUGCAAAUGAUGU